UGGGGAAUAUUGGACAAUGGGCGCAAGCCUGAUCCAGCCAUGCCGCGUGAGUGAAGACGGCCUUAGGGUUGUAAAGCUCUUUCACCGGUGAAGAUAAUGACGGUAGCCGGAGAAGAAGCCCCGGCUAACUCCGUGCCAGCAGCCGCGGUAAUACGGAGGGGGCUAGCGUUGUUCGGAAUUACUGGGCGUAAAGCGCGCGUAGGCGGCUUGGUAAGUUAGGCGUGAAAGCCCGAGGCUCAACUUCGGAAUUGCGUUUAAAACUGCUGAGCUAGAGUCCGAGAGAGGUGAGUGGAAUUCUCAGUGUAGAGGUGAAAUUCGUAGAUAUUGGGAAGAACACCAGUGGCGAAGGCGGCUCACUGGAUCGGUACUGACGCUCAGGUGCGAAAGCGUGGGGAGCGAACAGG
rnacentral:rRNA from 1 species